GUGGGAUAGCCCAGAGAAAUUUGGAUUAAGACCACAUGGUACCAUUUUACGGCAUCGUAUUAAUGGUUAAAGGUUACGGUAGGGGAUGAGUAUGCGUCCCAUUAGUUAGUUGGCGAGGUAACGGCUCACCAAGACCGCGAUGGGUAGGGGCCCUGAGAGGGGGAUCCCCCACACUGGUACUGAGACACGGACCAGACUCCUACGGGAGGCAGCAGUGAGGAAUAUUGGACAAUGGGCGGGAGCCUGAUCCAGCCAUGCCGCGUGCAGGAAGAAUGCCCUAUGGGUAGUAAACUGCUUUUAUACGGGAAGAAAAAGAGCUACGUGUAGCUUACUGACGGUACCGUAAGAAUAAGGACCGGCUAACUCCGUGCCAGCAGCCGCGGUAAUACGGAGGGUCCGAGCGUUAUCCGGAAUUAUUGGGUUUAAAGGGUCCGUAGGCGGGCCGAUAAGUCAGUGGUGAAAGUUUGCAGCUCAACUGUAAAAUUGCCUUUGAUACUGUCGGUCUUGAGUUAUAGUGAAGUUGCCGGAAUAUGUAGUGUAGCGGUGAAAUGCAUAGAUAUUACAUAGAACACCGAUUGCGAAGGCAGGUGACUAACUAUAUACUGACGCUGAUGGACGAAAGCGUGGGGAGCGAACAGGAUUAGAUACCCUGGUAGUCCACGCCGUAAACGAUGGAUACUAGCUGUCCGGGUCCUUGAGAC
rnacentral:rRNA from 1 species